rnacentral:rRNA from 1 species
GACAGAGGGUGCAAACGUUGCUCGGAAUUACUGGGCGUAAAGCGCGUGUAGGUGGAUUGGUGUGACAGAUGUGAAAUCCCUGGGCUCAACCCAGGAACUGCACCUGAAACUACCAGUCUUGAGUGGUGGAGAGGGAAGUGGAAUUCCUGGUGUAGAGGUGAAAUUCGUAGAUAUCAGGAGGAACACCAGUGGCGAAGGCGGCUUCCUGGACACCAACUGACGCUGAGGUGCGAAAGCGUGGGGAGCAAACAGG